UUUAAAGCAUGUGCUUUAUGACAAAACUGGACCCAGGGUCUGACAGAGACUGCAGGCUGCCGUGAGCACUGUAGCUAUCCUGAACAUUGAUGCUACAUAUUGCUAAGGGGAACAUAAUUUAUAGCAUAAACCCUACAAGCUUCCACUAAGGUUGAGUUUUCCUCUCAUUUUCUUGCCGUUUUAUUGGCUUCACUGCAUGGUUGCCAAUAGCAACAUCCACUGGUAGCAAGGGGAGUUCAACACCAUUGCAAUCUGCCAUACAGUGGAGCCCUGACAAUGUCAACCAUCAAUCUAGUAGCUGUUUGUAAUUGCCUCCAUCUAUUUCUCCUGUCUUGAGGUAUCUUUCCUAUUGUGGGUCAAGAUUUAGAAACUGCUGACUAAUGCCAUGGGUCUGUGUCUCCAUGACUAUGAAGCAGUGGACAGGAAGGUAGCAGCUUCCUGGUGCCAACAACCCCAGAGGUUAGAGGUUGAACUCUUGCGGGUUUCAGGCGUUUUUAAUCCCUUUUCUAAACAAUUUAUAAUUUUGCAAGAAUGUGAGGCAUAUGCAGUUAUCCAUAUAAUCUGCUUUUCCAAAAAAGAGAAAGGAAGUUUCCCAGUCCUUAUUAUUAAUGUUUAUUUCCUAUUGGAGAAAGACAUUUGAAAUAUGAGCCUUCUUGUAAAAACUCAAACUGACCAGAUUAUGUUUGCUUCCUCAGGUCUCUUGGCAUUAAUUGUUGAAAUAACUUCAUCCUACUUUUUCGAUGAGAUGUAUUUUUUUCAGACAUAUUUAUUCUUACUAGUCACUAUGUAGCUAUUAUGUGCACAAUCUACAAUGUAGUGGCAAUCCUGGUGGGUAGGGACAGCUUCACAUACUGCAAAGGGUGCCAUUCAGUGCAUAGCAGACUGGAACUCCCUCCUAGCUUGGCCACCAGCUGAACCUGUAAUCUUAGGACUCUCCAAGUCUUAGAAUCUCCAUCUAUUACAUAAAAGCACUGACUUUUAUUCAGUCCCCACACCAAAGGACCAAGACGUGUUUAGCUUUAAAGAAAUUUUCCAGAUAAUUUUCUUUUUUAUUCUUCUCAAAUAAAAUAGCAACAAACCUAAAGCAGUCAUCUUCUUAAUAAAGACAUAAUAAAACUUACAUAUAUGGGGUAGAUGUAAGCACAAUCAUACUACAGAUGUAUCUUGAGCCUGUCUCUAAUUAUGAUGAAAGAUGUAGUCAUCAAUACAAUUUAAAAAAAGAUAUGUCCUUUUUUUGAGACAGGGUCUUGCUCUGUCACCCAGGCUGGAGGGCAGUGGCACAAUCACAGCCACUGCAGCCUUGACCUCUCCAACUUAAGUGAUCUUUCCUGCCUCAGCCUCAUGAGUAGCUGGGACCACAGGUGUGCACCACCACACCCAGCUAAAUUUUGUAUUGUUUGUAAAGACGAGGCCUCACUAUGCUGACCACACUGGUCUCGAACUCCUGGGCUCAAGCAAUCCUCCUGCCUUGGCCUCCCAAAGUGUUAGGGUUAGAGAUAUGAACCACCACACCCACCUUAUAUGUCCUUUUAUUUCAUAAAAAACAAUUUUAGAUUAUCUGAUAUCACACAUAUCCCAUAAAUGGUAGUCAUUAAUUUAGAAGUGAAUUUAUAAAGUUAAGAGAAGUUAAAAUUGCACAUGCAUUUUGUUUCUAAAAUCUGAGAUGUCUAUGCAUUUCCAGGUAUUGUAUAUUUGCAAAUACAUUGGGUUAGAAAUCAUCUUUAACAUUUUGUGUUAGUGUAAUAACAAUAUUAUCUAAUAUUAAUGCUGCCAGAAUCCAGUUGCUUUUUCUGUGUAUCAAAAUUUAUCAUAACUUUUUCCACUUAACACUAGGUAAUUAAACAGAAUCUGCCCAAUUUAUUCUGCAGUAAAAUUAUUUUAAAAUCUAUUUUUCCUGCUGACUCUUAGAAAUUGCAGAAAGACAAAAACCAGUUUCAUCUCCAGUAAUAGUGUGAAACAAUUUCCUUCCAGUGGGACAGAAACCUAGACAUACUAGGGAAAGAUUUAAAUAUAAAGAAAAAUGCCUUGGCUGAAAAAAAAAAAAACCACCAAAACACAAAAAGGAUUCAUUAAAGCAACAGAACAAAACCUAAUUUGGGACCCUAAAAACUCUGGCAAUGCCACUGUAAUGAAGUUUCAUUAUCUGCUUCAGAGUAACAGUCUCUGAAAUUGUUAUUCUGCUACAUGCUGUAAAGAACUCCCAAAACUCAAAUGUAUCAGGAAAUGUAAAGGUUAAGUCUGACUACAAGAAGGCCAAAAUUGCACCAGCUUCCUAAGUGAAGAAUAAUAGAAUAAAACAUAUAGAGGGCAGAAAUAAAAUGAGGUGUAUCUGGAGAAUUUCAUGAUGAGCAUUUAGAUUUAGCAAUGCCCAAUGUCAUGCUGACACUGUUUGUCAUGACCUUGUCUUCAGCUAGUAAUUUGGGGUUGUACUUUUUUAAAUUUAAUUUUGAAUGUUCUUGCAUGUUUGGUACCUCUCUCCUCACUGCUAAAGAUAAAUUGUUUAUCUGUAUAACAUAACUACACCAAUGUCAUUUUUGUAUACGCUAGUACACAAAUGUGUUUUUUUAUUAAGUAAUGAAGUAUUUGCUGUGAAAAAUGUAUUAUUUGUGCCACCGUUUAUAUCUGUGUUCAUUUUCUGUGUGUAUAUGCGUGUGUAUUCGAAUCUCAAUUUUUCUUUUACUCUAGUUUAGAUUAAGACAUAUUUAGAUGAAAUUUUAAAAAUAACAUUGGAAAUAGGAGGCUAAGUUUUGUUGAGUCUCAUUCCCUUGGGGGGAAAUUGCUUUUGCCAUUUUAUUUUCAUGUACAAUAACCUAAAAAGGAUCUCCUACUGACUUCCUUCCUAAUUAUUAUUGUUUUACACGAAAGAAAGGAAAUACGUUUUCAAUUGAGUUGUUUGAAAUCAUUCACUUUGUGUAGAUUUCCCAGACUGAUGUUUCAUUGUAAGAAUAUUACAUUAUAGACAGGUUGGCCAUUUCACAAGCAACUAAUCCAUAGUUUUGGAAGCCCGCUUUAAGAGACCUGAAUAUCUUUGUUUUUAAUAAAAUACUUAGAGUUU
rnacentral:lncRNA from 10 species